ACGGGUGAGUAAUGCCUAGGAAUCUGCCUGGUAGUGGGGGACGAACGUUUCGAAAGGAACGCUAAUACCGCAUACGUCCUACGGGAGAAAGCAGGGACCUUCGGGCCUUGCGCUAUCAGAUGAGCCUAGGUCGGAUUAGCUAGUUGGUGAGGUAAUGGCUCACCAAGGCGACGAUCCGUAACUGGUCUGAGAGGAUGAUCAGUCGCACUGGAACUGAGACACGGUCCAGACUCCUACGGGAGGCAGCAGCU
rnacentral:rRNA from 1 species